AUCUGCAGAGCUGAGUGACGUGUGGUCCAUCUCCAGCGUCAGCGUGCGGCCGGACCUGCGGAGUGCGCCCAGUUCCCCCAGUAACCCUCACCUGCCCACCAUCACUGAGGAGUGAGGGGGGGAGAGACAGAGAGCGGAAGAGAAUCCAGGACAGAGAGAGGAACAGCAGCAGAGCCUUCUCUCAGGACUCGGCUGGUCAGGCAGCGGGGGGGCUGGAGACCCCCAGUGUCAUAGAGGCCAUCACACAGCCUGGGCAGGAGGACGGUUAAACUCUACCCAGAGCCUGACAUGCUUUACAACAUUUUCAUCAUUCAACAACACCAGCUGAGCUCAGCAUCGCAAGAAACUCAAAAGAAAGAAGAAACCAAUGAAUAUACACUGCUGUAGUAAUAAGCGAGUCACUUCACUCUUUCUGUCUCGUGGUUCUAGUUCAAAGAAUAAACAAAUGUUUGAAGAAGAAAGCACGGAAAGAAGCUGGAGGAGUGAUGGAGUGGAACCCAUGGACAACGUGCUGCACAGAGAUCAGCUGCAUCAGAACCAGCCGUAAACCGGUCUCUAGCGUUCUCUGGGUCUGUGAGGGGGGGGCACACAGUCAGUGAACUGUACAUUGUUGGACUGACGGAGUGAAUGUAACCCAGAGGCUUGGGAAGGUAUUGCUAAUAUCUAUUUAUCUUUUGUAUUAGAGUGAAUGUAUUAUAUAGCAGGCCAUGUGUCUCAAAAGCAUGUGGGAAUGUUCCGGCAGGGUUUUAUUCCAGUUUGGCUUCAUGUUUGUGCCAAAGGACCCAUAGCUGCUCUAAUAAAGAUAAAGAUACUUCUGAGAACUUGUUUAAAGAGGCAAUGAAUACAGCUUCUUUUCCUGGAAUACAGCAAUCUUCUAGAGUACGACUCAAUAGUCCGUCGGUGCUAUGUUGUCCUAACUUCAACUGAUUUUACAUUUGUGUUUAAGCGUCUUCACUUUUUAGGUUUGAAAUCCAAGAGGUUAGGAUCCUUCAUUUCUUAGGGGUUUUGCCAGUUUGCUGCACAGGUUAGCAUUAAAUCUCUCCAGUCAUUCACUGGAUCAAUAGUGAACUUUUACGUUUAGGGAUAGGUCUGGAUUUUGACACGUCUUAGUCCUUAAAUUCUGAAUUCUGAAUUAAAAAGCAGCCAGUACAGUGCAGAAUUCACAUCUUUCAAAGACUGCAAACACAAAGCAACUUGUACUGUGUUGUAAUGUCACAUGAGACAGUGGUUAUCACUUAGUUUAGCUGUCCUUGUGUUCCUGUUGAGAUAUAGUAGGCUAAGCUUUUUGGCUGCAAUCACUAUAGCUGCAGAACCAUAAAUAUUCAAUUGAAUAUACUGUAUAUUCAUUUGAAUAAAGCCCUGCGCUGGGUUUCCUUUGGAGAUGCUUUGGCUUUACGCUUGCAUGUUCUGGAAUCAUCCAACUUGUAUUUUAUAGAUUAUUUUCAAAAGCUAUACUUUGUGAUGGCAAGUCCUCCGUUGGAUCCUAACAACCACAGGAACUUUUUCAAAUGUCUCAAAACACAGUCAGGUAGAAAGGUUCCAGCCAGGGUUUAGCACGCUGUGAGGAACACUGACAGCAGAGGCACCAGUUCAGUGCUCCUCUGAUCAAAACCUCUGCAGUAUCAUCACUGCUCCACUCUGCAAUAUAUCACUUCAGAGCUAAACUUCAGAGCACAGCCGCAUUGUAUUAUUCUACAACAGUCAUCCAUCAGAAGUUCAACUUCUCUGCUGUCUUUAUCCGUGUAGAUACAAAUAUAUUUUUGACAGGGUAUGUUCCAGGUCAAUGCCAACGACAAAUGAAUUAUUAAUAAGAGUUCUGAAUGUCACCCCCUCAGCUGUGUGUCAGAUACGGCUGUAUGAGUGGAUAAAGGUUGCUAGUUUGAUGCUUCCUGUCUGUGUUCAUGUGAUCCUCGUGUUGUGCUAAACGUGUACAGAAAGUGACACGAGGAGAUCCCCGCUGCAGAGAUAUGUUCAUGGCUACACAACAAAUCAGAUCUUCUGAAAUAAGGAAUCAGAAAGGAAAUGACUGCAAGCAUCAUCCCACACCUCUGAGCCACUGUCUCUGAGCAAUGAAUGCAGUGAUGCAGCCAAACAUCAGCUUAGAUAUGACAGAGUACUGUCAGAGUCCAGAUGCCUUUCUUUCAGCUUGUACUCAACGGCUACUUUCGGUUUGAUUUAAUAGAAGCGUUUCCAAGCUUGUGUUUCUUGUUUUUACUGUGACUGUUCUCUGAUUGUAAUGCUGCUGUCAUCUUAUAUUAAAACAUUAGAAGGUC